CAUCCCAGUUCGGAUCGCAGGCUGCAACCCGCCUGCGUGAAGUUGGAAUCGCUAGUAAUCGCGGAUCAGCAUGCCGCGGUGAAUACGUUCCCGGGCCUUGUACACACCGCCCGUCACACCAUGAGAGUCGGGAACACCCGAAGUCCGUAGCCUAACCGCAAGGGGGCGCGGCCGAAGGUGGGUUCGAUAAUUGGGGUGAAGUCGUAACAAGGUAUC
rnacentral:rRNA from 1 species